UAGGACACAGGAAUCCACUCUGUGCCGAGAGGAAAUAUUUAUAAAUCUUAAGAGGUUUAAAUUUAAGUCUCAAAACCUUAAAACUGAGACUGAAUGCAUUUUUGAUAUAAUUAUUAUAGUUUUACUAAGUUUAAUUUCUUUUUCCAAACCCUAACUAAAAGCAAAUGCAAAAGGAAUAGCGACGAUGAAUGGAUCAGGCCAAUUACUUGGGUAUAAAUCUUAUCUCUUUUCAAGUUCAAGCUCAUUCUCUUUAUUCUUUCAUCUUCCCCAGGUAGCUUGAUUAAAGGCAAACCUCUACUGUUAUAUUCGCCUUCCUGUCAAUGCCAAGGUCAAGAAACUGAUGGCCUCUGGUGUUCCAGACCGGGCAGCCUUGAAUCUACAGAACCUGAAUGAUGAACACACAGUUGAGAAACUGAGCAACUAGGAACUUCAUAUCAAUAGAAGGCAUCUCAUAUUCUCUGGGACCUAAAAGGACCAGGAAUAGUAAUGAGCCUAGUAUCAGGCCCAAGGAAGAGGCUGCUGAGAUCACCUGGGGCACUGUAGCUUUGAAGACAGCCCUCUUGGGUCAGUGCCGGAGGGUGAACCUGUUGGAUGUCCAUCUCACAUGCUCCCCUUCACAGGACAGAUCAGCAGUCAGAAUGCCUUCAUCUCUACGGCACACUUUGCACUACUUAAUAACCUGGUGAUGUGUUUACAUUCACAUUCCCACCCCUGCGGUGAAGGCUUCCAGGUAGCCACCCAGGCUCCCAAUGAAGACAGAUGGGAACACUUUUCCCUUGUCUAUGAGCUUCUCAGUGGGAAUCAGGAUUGUGUUCUGUUAGCAUUUGUCUAUUUUGCAGGCUCCUACUUAGAGCCCUGGCAGCACAAUUGAUACUCCUCUUCCCACUGAACCUGAGCUGCUGCCUCAAAGAAGUCUUUGUGAGAAGAGGUGUGUAUUAAGGAACAAGGACAAGCAAACCAUUGGAACCUCAGAUUCAGCGACCCCUUCUCUACACAGGUGGUCCUACUUCCUUGCUGCUUCUGCAGAGUCCUCAUUCUAAAAUCAAUCACAACAAAGAACCAAAACAACAGUAGAAAUAGAAGCUCAACAAAACCUGGGAACCAGAGUAAAGUGAUAAUGACCCCCAUCCUACAUCAUCUACCGUUCUCCUACCGAUGGCUCCUUUAAGAACAUCACCUCUCAUCCAGUUGUCCCAGGGGCUGCCAAACAUCAGCACAAUUUUCAAAAUAAUGCUUGCAAGGUAGGAAAUCAUCUGUGCAUUAACCUCUGCUAACAUCUCAGAGCCACUGUAGCAGUGCUUUUGUGUGUGGGAUAAAAGGCAUGUGACAAAUUUGGCCAUCUUACCCCUUUGUAAGCAUGUGGUACAGCGGUGUUCUGUGCAGCAGAUCUCUAUGACUUUUUCAUCUUGCAAAAUGGAAAUGCUAAUCCAUUGAACAACUCCUCUUUCUCCUCACCCCUACCUCCUGGCAACCACAUUAUACUUUCUAAGAGUGUGAUGACCUUAGAUGCCUCAUGGAAGUGAAAUCAUGCAAGAUUUGUCUUUUUGUAAUUAGCUCUUUUCAUUUGGCACAAUGUCUUCAAGGUUCCACAAGGCUGUAGUGCAGGACAGGAUUUCCUUAUGGCUAGAUAAUGUUUGGUGGUGGGAAUGUGCCACAUUUUCUUAAACUGUUUAUCCACUGAUGGACAUUGAGGUUGUUCCCUUGGCUACUGUGAAUAAAAUUGCAGCGAAUGCAUGUAUGCAGCCAUGGCCUUUGAGAUCCUAUUUUCAAGUAUUUUGGAUAUAAGCCCAGAAGUAGGAUUGCAAUAUUGCAUGGUAACUCUACUUGAAAAUUUU
rnacentral:lncRNA from 1 species